UGGCACGCCAUCAUUUAUUUACAGAGAAAGGUAUCACUUUAACAAAAUCAGGAGUCCUUCGGGGGCAGAUUAUUCUGUAAUACCACUUUCAUUAUCAGAGAACUCUCGAUACAAAGUGUUCUACAAAACUACAAGAAGAAUCAGGCUAGCCUUUUAAGGACAUCAUCAAAAAUCAGGCCUACCCAAUAAAGGCAGAGGCAGAGCUCUAUAAAAUUUGGUGAAUCCAGGACCACUUAAACAAGUCAGACAUAUAGAUGAUGGAAGACAUGGGACGUGAAUUUCUUUUGCUGGCUUUCUCAUUCCUCCUAUUCUAUCACUUAAAGCAUUUACCUGCCAGCCCCCAACAUCCCAGAUCUCUCCCCACUACCCUUGGAGAGCUCAUUUCUUCUCCUGGCUCCAAAUCUUGCCCCUGUAGACACCUAUCCCUUAUCUCUGUCUGCCACUUAGAUAUAGCACCAUCACCUUCAACUUAGUAGGUUGAGAAUUGAAGCUCUCUCCCAGGAGAGCACCAGUUCCACGUCACCAACUGGGUGUUAGUGAUGCUGCUAAGUUUUCUAGUCACUCAGGUUUGUGACCUUGGACUUGCUGCCUCCUUUUUGGUCCCUCUGACAUGUCUCCUCUUUCCUCCUUCCCUGCCCACUCCUCCAUCCCAUUCUUUACAUCACUCCUAGACAAAUCCAGAACUGAUUCCUUGCCCCUGAACCUCUACUGUACUUUUAUAUCAAAGUUUAAAAGGAUUCCUGUUCAUCUUGCUGUUUCACAAGUCACUCUUGUAGUCCCAACUCGAUUUUAAGAUUUUUUUUUUUUUUUUUUUGAGACAGGGUCUUGCUCUGUCGCCCAAGCUGGAGUGCAGUGGCACAAUCUCGGCUCAACUGCAGCCUCUGCCUCCUGGGUUCCAGCGAUUCUCCUGCCUCAGCCUCCCGGGUAGCUGGUAUUACAGGCACACGCCCGCACGCCCAGCUAAUUUUUUUGUAUUUUUAGUAAAGAUGGGGUUUCACUAUGUUGGCCAGGCUGGUCUCGAACUCCUGACCUCAGGUGAUCCGCCCACCUUGGCCUCCCAAAGUGCUGGGAUUACAGGCGUGAGCCAUGGAGCCCGGCCUGAUUUUAAGCUCUUUAAAGCCAAGAAUGCGGUCAUGCUUCCAUUCUCUCCAAAACGUGAUGGGGAUCUGAUGACAGCUUUUGCCCAAACUGUGGAAAUAGUUCUGAGUUUCCAAAGUAAGCUUCAUAUCUUUCACUAUGUUUUGAUCACUAAGACUUAACCUAAAGAAGUCAAUGAGUGACAGCAGCUUUCUCCCCAUCCAGAUAUUUGCUAUACAGGGAUGGUCUUUCCCUUCUGGUCCAGAGUCCCAGUCUGGUUUAACAAGAUCAGAAUGUGUAGGGGAACGCAUUCUCAUACAUUGCUAUGAGAGUAUAGUUAAGCACAAUUUCUAUGGACGAAGAUAUCAAAACUCAAAAUGAUCUGCUCCUUGAUCCAGCAUCCCAUAACUCUAGCAGCCCAUUUGCAACACAGUAAAACAAAGAACAUUUUCUUCAAUCGGGCACUGAUUAAAUCACAGUGGAUCUCUGAGACAUAGUAACUAGAAAAGCAAGGUACAGAACAGUAUGCAUAGUGUCCUGUCCAUGCCCAAAAUAUUUCUGGAAGAGCGCACAAGGAAAUGGUGAUAGUGAUGGCCUCAGGGAAGGGGAAAAGGGUGGCUGGGGAACAGGGGUGGGAGACUAGCUUUUUACUGUUAAGUUUUGAACCAUGUGCAUGUAUAAUUUUUUUAAAGAAUUAUGCAACAAAUAACUUCUUUAAAAGUCUUCAGCCCCAGUACGGUCGCUCAGGCCUGUAAUCCCAGCACUUUGGGCGGCUGAGGCAGGAGGAUCGCUUGAGGCCAGGAGUUUGAGACCAGGCCAGCCUGGGCAACAUAGCAAGACUCCAUCUCUACAAAAAAAAACAAACAAAAAAAAUGUUAAAGAGCCAGGCGUGGUGGCACAUGCCUAUAGUCCUAGCUAUUCGGGAAGUGAGCCAGGAUGGCUUCAGCCCAGGAGUUAAGACUGCGGCAGGGUAUGCACCACUGCACCCAGCCUGGGUAACACAGUGAGACCCCCAUCUCCUAAAACAAAAUUAAAAAAAAAAAAAAUUAAGGCCAGGCAUGGUGGCUAACACCCGUAAUCCCAGCAUUUUGGGAGGUUGAGAUGGGUGGAUCACUUGAGGCCAGCAGUUUGAGAUCAGCCUGGGCAACAUGGUUAAAAGCCCGUUUCUACUAAAAAUACAAAAAUUAGCCGGGCGUCAUAGCAUACACCUGUAAUCCCAGCUACUUGGGAGGCUGAGGCAGAAGAACUGCUUGAACCUGGGAGGCGGAGGUUGCAGUGGGCCAAGAUGGCUCCACUGUACUCCAGCCUGGGAAACAAAGUGAUACUCCAUCGCAAAAAAAAAAAAAAAAAAAAAAAAAAAAUUAAAAAUCUACAGAGGAGGAAAACAAACAAAAAUAGCAAAAAUGGGACAUCAAUCCAGACAUGAAGGAAAAAAACAUUUUUUAAAUAUUCAUCAUUGUGGCAAAAAAAACCUGCCCUUAAAAAACCAGAAACCUAAGGUUUAAAGAGAUGAGUGACCCCUCAAUUGUUCCUCUGAGAAUAGACUGUGUCUUUCACCUGCUUUUUAAGUCCUCUUCCCAAGGUCUGGCCCGAUGUUUGGUCUCAAUGGUUGUGUAAUGUCUCUGAAUGGAUGAAAUUUACUUCCCUACGGAAAAGUAAAGCAUUCUCCAAAUGCAAGCAGUUGUGAAACAGUGAUAAAGGUCGAGGGGGAAGCAGCAUGGCUGAGAGCUGCUUUUGCCUAAUGUAUUCAUUCACCUGCAUGAACCAAGCACCCACGUGCAUGGAUGUGUACUAUAUACAGACUGUGAGAUGUGGACCUGCCUCACAGUGUACCAGGAGAGAUGAGAGCAUACACAAAGAAUCACUGGGUAGAAAAUCUACAUGAGUUUUAAAAUAGGGAAUUUCUGAAGCAGCUUACUACUAACAGCUAAAAACCACUGGCUUGACCACAUAUACAAAGGCUGCAAUCUCAGAGGGAUAUUUCAUGUAUUUAGUAAAACCUGGGGAAACGAGGAAGGCAGGGAAGUUGAUAAGGACUUGUAGGCACACUUUGGCCCCAGGGAGGCAGGUGGAUGCUGGUGGAGAGCAUCACCUAAAUUAGCUGCCUCCUUUCUUGGCAAUCCUGUUAUCUACACCAUAUGAAUCCAGUCUUUAGCUGGAUAUAACCAUUCGUUCACUCAUUCAUUCAACAAGUAUUUACUGAACAGCCUAGUCUGUGCAGGCCUAUGUUAACUGUCUCCAGCACACUCAAUCCAUGACAUUAAAGUUACAGUUUUGGUCUUUGUGUAUCAGCAAUGACAGGUCCUCACUCUUACCACAAAGCGCAAGUCAGCUUGGCCUCUCAAGUGGAGAGAUAAUCGUUCUAUAGCAAGAAGUACAAAGAUUCUCUGCAGACAAAACCAGCUAGCCAAGGUUUCUUCAUGUUAUUUACAAUUCAAAGUAAAUUUACUUUAUAAGCAGCUAGG
rnacentral:lncRNA from 10 species